rnacentral:misc_RNA from 1 species
AUUGGAAUCAAGUGGAUGAUCAUCCUCCUCGCUAAACACUGCAAUAGUCCUGAAUGUUGAGAAAUAUAAUUACUAUCUCCUGAAGAUAACCAAUCGAAAUUUUUCAUUCCUGCAUGGGGUUUCUUCACAACUGCCUGCAUUGAAUCAUUCAAUCUAACUGGAAGGAUAACAGCUGCCAUGUUAUCCAUACUACCCUUUUCAAAAGCAGCAUUCACUAUGCAGUCAGCUAAGGAGUAUGAACAUG